ACUACUGGGCCUGGAGUCAGGAAGACACAUCUUCAUGAGUUCAGAUGUGACCCUAGGCAAAUCAUUUCAGCCUGUUUAUCUCAGUUUCAUCAUCUAUAAAAUAAGCUAGAAAAGGAAAUGGCAAACCAUUCCAGUAACUUUCUUCCAAGAAAUACCCCAAAUGUGGACAUGAAGAGUUAGACAAUGAAACAAAUUAAUAACAAAAAAAAAACACAACAAUUUGGGAGAAAAUGGUGCAAGUAGAGCUGAGGGAUCAGAAAAAUCCUUCAAGGUACUUGACUAGAAUAUUUUUGAACCCUUACUUUCUGUCUUAGAAUCAAUACUAGGUACUGGUACCAAGGCGGAAGAGCAGGACGGGUUAGGCAAUUGGAAUUAAGUGACAUGCCCAAGAUCAUACAGCUGGGAAAUAUCUGAGGUCAGAUUUGAAGCUAGGACCUCCUGUUUCCUGGCAAGCUCUCUAUCCACUGAGCCACCCAGUUGCCUCACUUGAUCAGUGUUUUGAAGGAAACAAGGAAUUCUGAGAGUCAAAGGAGAAGAGAUGCAUUCCACUUUUAAAGGAUAGCCAGAGCCAAGGCAUGGAGACAAGUGAUAGAAUGCCACAUGUGAGAAACAGCAAGAUGACCAAAUUUUUUACCUAACCAGGUCAGGAAGGUAGGCUGGGACCAGAUGGAGAUGGCUUUAAAAGCUAAAGAGAAUCUUUUCUUUGUUCCUAGAGGCAUUUCGUAAACAUUGUAGUUAUGAAACCAGGAAGCGAAAUGGUCAGACUUGCUUCAGCAGCUACAUGAAAGAGGGUAGUGUGAGGAGAUCAAGACAAGGAGAUCACAUAGGAAGCUACUAAAGUAGUCCAGGCAAAAGGAUAUGAAGUCCUUAAGUGGCUGUAUUAGUAGAGAGGAAACAGAAAUAUUGUAGAGGAGUCAGGAAGUCCUGAGUUCAAAUACUACCUCAUUCACUUACAAACUGUGUAAUCCUGAGCAAGUCAUUAAAAUCCAUCCUGUUUUCUCAUCUGUUGAAAUGGGGAUAAUAAUAGCAUUCACAUUCCAAGGUUGUGAUGAGAUGAUCUUUGUAAAGUACUUUACAAAUCUUAAAGCGUGAUGUAAAUGCUAGCUGUUAUUGCCAUUGUUUUCAUUGUAGAAUUUUUAGGAAUGAUGUAUUUAGGAAUUAGGAAUAGGAAUUCAAUAGGAAUAAGAAUGGCAAUAUUUGCCAUUGGACAUGGGAGGUAAAGAGGAAUGAAGAGUUAAGGAUGACAACAAAGAUAAAAAGAUAGUGGUGCACUCACCAGACAUAGAAUGCUUUAGAAGAUGUAUGGGUUUGUGGGUAAAGUUAAGGAGCUCUAUUUUGGAAAUGUUAGCCUGGAGAUGUCUACAGGACAACCAGUUAUAAAAUUUUAGUAUAUUGUUGGAGAUUACUGGAACUCCGACUAGAGACUAGUUAGAUGUGUAGAGAAAGCAGAACAGAGUAAGUAGGAAUAGAGACCUUUUUCUAGGAAACUAACUAGACCAUUGGGAUUUCUGCAAAUUUAAAUUGUCUUUGGUCCUACGUGAUCUCAAUAUUUGAAAUUCUGCUUUGUAUAACCUGUACAUACCAUUGACCCUUGCUUCUGUAGAGACCACAUGCUAGUUUCAUAUCGUUCUGAUACAUAAACAAGAACAGUUUUAAGGCAAAAAACAAAACAAAACAAAAAAGCAUGAAAGAGCACAUUACAGUUUUGUUGUUCCAAAUUAAUGGUAUUACUCAGAUCUGAUGUGUCAAAUAGUGUGUCACUCCGUUUCAGGUAGUAAAUUUAAAUUAGAAAAAUGAGGAUGUUGGAAUGAUCUCUAACAUUCUGUGAAUUCUGUGAUGCAGCAUGAGGAACAUAUUUCAUGGUUUUAAUGUGUGUUUUCCCCUUCCGUUAUUUGUCCUUUAUAUUCUGACCAACAGAGUUCUGAAAAAAUAACAAUUGAAAUAUCUGUCAUAUCUAAUCUUCUUCCCAAAUACCUUCCUUACAGGAGCACCACUUAUCCCAGUACGUUCCAUUUCAUCCACUUUGAUCCAUGUCAUGAUAUGUACAGUUAAUAUGACCUUACAAAUAACUCUCAGAUGGUCGGUGCCCCUACAUCAGGAAGUCAUUAGAAGCUGACCUCUCAUCCAGCCACAGAAGGAGAUGAGUCAUACAGUGUUCUUACUGUUAACUUGGAAAAGAAUCAAGGAGGAGACAGAGACAUAUUUGCUAAUGAUGCAAAAUGGAGGUAGAUGCACACAGAGAAACUGAGGGGAAAGGAGAGGGAAGGAAUAAUCAAGGAUAUAUGAUGACAUUUUAAAUCCAGAAAGUCACAGUUUUGGAAUCCACUAAGGGCCUUAGAGAUCAUCUUGAGCAGCUCCCUCAGUGAGGAAAUCAAAUUGCAAAAAUCUCUGAUUUUAUAACUCUAAUAACUUUCACUACAUUGAAAUUUGGAAAAAAAUCACUAUAUUGAAAAUGAGAUCUACUCAACAAAGAGCAUUAAGGAGGAAAACAAGUUCUGGCAGGGGCUGUUUAGCUGUGAAGACUUUGAUAAUGCUCUGAUGAAAGAUGGAUGAUGUGUCUGUAGGCCAAGAGCCAUACUUGAAAAAUAACUCAGUUCAAAGAAACUUGUCAUGGAAAGAUGAUGAAACUGUGACACAGAGGACUGAAGUACCUAAAUCAAAGGUAGAACCAGAAGUAGAUUGGAAACCUCCUGGGAUCUGUCAGCCAACGACUCCCUCUGUUGGAUUUUGUUGUCUUGUUCACUUUAGACCUUUAGGCAAUAUUUUGUAUCUUAAAGAUAAUUCUAAUUAUUAGCUGGUUAAUAUCUGUGACCAAAUUUCACUGUUCUCCAUCUUUACUAAAGGGAGAAAAAUUGCAAAUUGGCUUAAGCUAAAGUAAGAGGAAUUCAGAUUAGAUCUUGAAGAGAACUUCUAAUCCCUUAUGAUUGCUAGAUACUAAAAAAACAUUACUGAGAAAAAAUUUAAUUUUCUUAGCAGAACGUACAGUUUUAAAUAAAAUUGACUCUUACCCAUCUAUAUUAGUUUAAUUUAUCUUGGUGUGUUGGAUGGCAUAAA